GAGUUAAUAUUUUCUAUAUGGAGUUGUAAUAUGGUGGCUCAUCUUGUAGAUGAAUGUGACAGAUUUCCAGACCAGCUAAAUUUUUUGUUGGUGAUUCGUUCAAGCUAAGCUAAUUAACUUUUGGUUAGUACAAAAAUUAUAAGAAACAUGAUAUGGUAUGUACAUCAUAAUACAUUUUUAGUAUAAAAUCAUAUGGAUCACUGAUGAGUGAAGCAUUUUCGGGGUAUCUUAUGACACAUUUACAUUACAUACAGUUGGAUCACAUUUAACUGUCUUAUUAUUUUAAAAAAAUUCUUUGAAAGAUCUUUGUAUUAUUGUUUAAAACUGUGCUUAGGAAGGGAAGGAAGAAUUUGAUCCUAUUAGGAAACAUUACAUGCGUUGGAACGUAAAGGGUAAUUAUUGUUCUAAUGAAUCCUAUUUCAAUAUAAUACAUUCUUGUUCCUAUAAAAAAAAAAUAUUGUUCUAAUGAAUGCUGUGGAGGUGUGAUUUGAAGAACAUAUGCUAUUAGAAUGAUUUAAUUGUUGACCUUGUGGAUGAUGAUGAAUGAAUAUUGAAUUUGCAUAAUGUAAAAGUUUUGUUUGUUGACUUUUUAUUUUAUUUUUUAAUUUUAAUUUUUUCCUUCUAGGUGGGAUAAUGAUGAACCUGGAAAGUUAGAGCUUUCGACAUGGCACACAUAUAUUUCAGUAGUCCUGUGCUUGAUCAUAAUUUCUUUGGCAUGUUGGUUGGGACUCGUAGCAGCUUGAAACUUUUGGCAUACUGAUAUUUAUUAGUGGCACUAGUAGGAACUUGGAAUUAAAAAUUAAAAUUAAAAGUUUUGAAAAGUUUAUUUUGUGAUUUUAUGAUGAUGAAUCCAUGUAUUUAAAAAUGUUAUAUUUUAUUAAAGACUUUGUUUAUUAACGUUUGGAUAUAUCUAUAUAUAUAUAAUAUGAAUGCUUAUAUUUACCUCUUUAACCUUAUCAUCUUUCUUGAAUUAAUUAUUGGUCUUUUUUUUGCUGUAUGUACAUAUAUUUUGAUAGUGCAUACAUCUUGUGGAGAUGGGUUCAAACCGCCAACCACACAACAUAUAUAUAUAUAUAUAUAAUAUGAAUGCUUAUAUUUACCUCUUUAACCUUAUCAUCUUUCCUGAAUUAAUUAUUGGUCUUUUUUGCUGUAUGUACAUAUAUUUUGAUAGUGCAUACAUCUUGUGGAGAUGGGUUCAAACCACCAACCACACAACACCAUAAUAUGGAAGAAAUAGAAAAAUGAUCUUUGAGUUGACAAUUAUUUUUUUUCGAUAAAUAAACAUCAAUAUAUAAGCAAAGGCAAACGCCGCAAAGCAUACAGGGAGUAUACAAGGCGACAAAGGCCACACAACAACAACAAAAACGAGAACAACAAAAACCCACCAGCCCUCAACUGGAGGCUAUCCACUCCAGGAAUCCUAUAAGGGACCGGGACUCCGCACCAUUAUACAAUUU
rnacentral:lncRNA from 1 species